AAGGUUGCGUUGGAUCCAAGGGAAGCAACCACACGUCCCCACAGUCCCAACCAGAGACAAGAGAGAAGAGAAAGAGAGAAGGGCCUAAGAGACUAGCAAUUAAGCAAUUCGCACCAAAACCACGAGAUCGAGCUGGUGCUAAAUCCAGGUGGAGAAAGCGGAGUUUAAUGGUGAUUGAGACGUGGCCGCGGUGAUUCUGGGGAGUCACAGUGGGGAGCAAGAACGGAGUGGAUCGGAUGGACAAGGACAAGAGCCGUACCGAUCUGCUCGCUGCUGGCCGUAAAAAGCUUCAACAAUUCCUUCAGAAGAAGGAUAAAGGCAGUGGAAGCCAGG